UGAACGCAUAUUGCGCUCGAGCCUCCGGGCAAGAGCAUGUCUGCCUCAGCGUCGGUUUACACCCUCACCCCUCCCACUUUGUUGGGUUGUUUGGCAACUUUGCCAGCAUAGGUGGUGGAUCUGGCUUCCCCAAUCUGCCGUCUGGUAGAUUGGGUUGGCUGAAGAAUAGAGGUUUAAGCAAGGACCCGUUAUGGGCUUCAACUGGAUAGGUAGCACCGGCUUGUGCCGACUACACGAAGUUGAUGCUCGUGGAUCUUGCUAGAGGCCAAGCAGGAACGUGCCCAUGGCACGUCUAAACUUUCGACCUGAGCUCAGGCAAGGCUACCCGCUGAACUUAAGCAUAUCAAUAAGCGGAGGAA
rnacentral:rRNA from 1 species